GAUUUUGUCAAAAUGGCUUUUACUGACCCGUCUUGUAACACGGACCAAGGAGUCUACCUAUUAUGCGAGUGUUAGGGUGGAAAAACCCAAACGCCAACCGAAAGGGAUUUAAGAUGUGAGGCGCGAGCUACAACAUCAACCAAUCUUGAUUCUUUGAAGAAAGACUUGAGUAAGAGCAUAAUCGGUAGGACCCGAAAGAUGGUGAACUACGGUUGAGUAGGGUGAAGCCAGGGGAUACUCUGGUGGAGGCUCGAAGCGUUACUGACGUGCAAAUCGUUCGUCAAACUUGACUGUAGGGGCGAAAGACUAAUCGAACCAUCUAGUAGCUGGUUCCCUCUGAAAUUUCUCUCAGGAUAGCAGGAACAGAUAGAGCAGUUUUAUCAGGUAAAGCUAAUGAUUAGUGGCAUCGGGGGUCUUCGAUCCUUGACCAAUUCUCAAACUUUAAAUUGGUAAGAACCGAUAGUUUUCUUAAUUGAACUGUUGGGCAGAAUGCAUUGUUCUUAGUGGGCCAUUUUUGGUAAGCAGAACUGGCGAUGAGGGAUGAACCUAACGUUGAGAUAAGGUGCCCAAAUUCACGCUCAUCAGACACCA
rnacentral:rRNA from 1 species